rnacentral:misc_RNA from 1 species
GCGACCCCAGGUCAGGCGGGGCUACCCGCUGAGUUUAAGCAUAUCAAUAAGCGGAGGAGGGCGGG